rnacentral:rRNA from 1 species
UACAGAGGGUGCGAGCGUUAAUCGGAAUUACUGGGCGUAAAGCGCGCGUAGGCGGCAUUGCAAGUCGGGUGUGAAAUCCCCAGGCUUAACCUGGGAACUGCAUUCGAGACUGCAUUGCUAGAGUAUGGGAGAGGGAAGUGGAAUUUCCGGUGUAGCGGUGAAAUGCGUAGAUAUUGGGAAGAACACCGGUGGCGAAGGCGGCUAUCUGGCCCGUAAUUGACGCUGAGGCGCGAAAGCGUGGGGAGCAAACAGG